rnacentral:rRNA from 1 species
CAGUUCGGAUUGUAGGCUGAAACUCGCCUACAUGAAGCUGGAGUUACUAGUAAUCGCAGAUCAGAAUGCUGCGGUGAAUGCGUUCCCGGGUCUUGUACACACCGCCCGUCACACCACGGGAGUUGGAGACGCCCGAAGCCGAUUAUCUAACCUUUUGGAAGAAGUCGUCGAAGGUGGAAUCAAUAACUGGGGUGAAGUCGUAACAAGGUAGCCGUAUCGGAAGGUGCGGCUGGAUCACCUCCUUUCUAAGGAGA